rnacentral:rRNA from 1 species
CCUACGGGUGGCAGCAGUGAGGAAUCUUCCACAAUGGGCGAAAGCCUGAUGGAGCAAUACCGCGUGCAGGAAGACGGCUUUCGGGUUGUAAACUGCUUUUGUAUGGGAAGAUUAUGACGGUACCAUGCGAAUAAGGACCGGCUAACUACGUGCCAGCAGCCGCGGUAAUACGUAGGGUCCAAGCGUUAUCCGGAAUUACUGGGCGUAAAGCGUGUGUAGGUGGAUGUUUAAGUGAGAUGCGAAAUCUUUCGGCUCAACCGGAAGACUGUGUCUCAUACUGGAUAUCUUGAGGUUGGUAGAGGCAAGUGGAAUUACCGGUGUAGCAGUGAAAUGCGUAGAGAUCGGUAGGAACACCAAUGGCGAAGGCAGCUUGCUGGGCCACACCUGACACUGAGACACGAAAGCGUGGGGAGCGAACAGGAUUAGAUACCCCGGUAGUC